AAUAAUGAAAGUCAAAGCCGGGAUAAAAAGGGGUAAAAAUAGACCUUGUUUGCAGAACCUCUCAACAGUUUGUCUUUUAUAGCGCUCGUUGUUGGACUCCAGAUGUAGCAGCGAGGCUAACAGGCGACGUCAUGUCUUACUCUGUGUAACCCACACAGGAUGAGAGGCUCCUCUUAGAGUUAAAUCAGCUUCUACUGUGAUUAAUUCACCAGGAAUACCACCACGUCUGCGACCAAGAGGAAGUCAAACCUUUGAAAGCUGUUUCUCUCCAACAGGAACGUGAGUCAUCUCUGAGUGACAUUUGAGUGUAUUGGAAACACACGAUCUUAUUGGCCGGGAGAUAUUUGUUUCAAGAAACCUCAACUCCAUUUCUGGACUGUUCGCUUUACAUGUUUAUUUAUUGGCGAUGAACUCAAAGGCCGUUUGAUUUGUUCGGCUUUAUCUGAUUUGGAAGAGUGAACGCAACAAGAUGAGCGAAGAAAGCCAAAAACUAAAUGAGUCAUCCAAGUGAUUUUGAAGCUGAAGCUGAGAUGAGUUCAGGUGCUUUCUGCAGCAGCUUUCCAGUAACAGAACGCUGUUUCAUACCCUAACAUUCAGGACUUCAGUCAGAUGGAAACCUCUUCAUAUGCAAACCGAAACUCAACCGUAUUCCCCCGUCUUACAUCUCCACACACUCAUGGAACGAGAUUACGCAAUUAGGAUACAAGAAAAAGGGGUGGUUCUAAGAGGGGGGCCAACAGGGGCUAGAGGCGGAUCUAAUGCAACCCAGCAGUCUAGCAGGACCCCUAAUGCCCCUUUUCCACCAAACUGGUUCCGGUUCAUUGUGCUUAUCUGGUUCUACUCUGGAGCACCACCUGGGUUUCCACCGCUCAAAGCCCGAGACGAUGACUCGAGAAAGAAGUUAUCUCCGUUCCUGCAGAACCUCUUUGCAGUGAAGGAAACUCUGAUGAAGACCUUCAGAACUCUCUGCUGUUAUGAGUCAGUUUUAAAUGCUCGCCUCAAAUGUCAGCAGCACCCUGUAAACCGUUCUGCCAACGCGAACACAUCCUCGAGAGGGGGAAGCACAAUAAUACAACAAGUCAUCACAACAGCUCGAGGACGUCAACAUUCCUCCAGUCUGACACGAAGCUAAUGGAAAACACAUUUGCAUCGACACCCUCCGAACACGAGGAGCUUUUCCUGACUGCAAUGUGUUGAGUAGCUGAGAGCGUCCUGUACACACAUCGCAGAGCAGGGAUGAGGUUUAGUUUUCAUCAUGCUCAAGCUAACAGCUUCUCCGUGAACCCUGUUCCUGUGACUGAUCCACUGCGGCAGUAACAGGUUUAAUUGAAGGGGGGGAAACAACAUGACGUAACGUAUAAACAGGGUUUCCCACACGUCGUUAUGUGUAUCAUAAAAGGGAAAACACGUGGAUUUAUUACCAGCUUUACGCAGCGCUUCAGCAUCUUUUAGCUCAGUUGUUUUGGUGUUUCUGGUCAUGUUCAAAUAUAUUAGAUUGCACUUACAAAGAAAAACAUUGUGCAAUGGCUCUAUGUUUCAUAAAAGGGCUGAAUCAUAGUGACCCACAUGGACAUUUUUACCAACACUGCAGCUUUAGGCGGCGUUUUAGCGUUUAUCAGCUCAUUGUUUGUUGUUUCUAAACCUGCAUCACGUCCUCGUACCUUAAUUAGAAAUAAAUGCAUUUGUUAAUUACCUGCAGAAUGACAUACCUUACUGUCCCUGGUGUGAUUGAACUAAGAACGUUGAUUAAAAGGACCUUACUUAAGUGUUA